UAAUGAGCGUGGUAUAGUAGUAUAGCAUUACAGUACAUCCUUUGUAAAUACACAAGUCUGGAACCUUCAAUAUAACAGUAUAAUGGACAAUUGCAUGCUCUACUGCACAAUCAACUAGUGAAUGAAUGGCUGAUCACACUACCUAUUCUCAAGACCCAAUGGCAUAUGGAGAGAUUGACAAAUGCGGCUCCCCCAACCUACUCUCAAGUGGUGGAGAAUGCUCCUCCGCCAUAUCAACCUACCAAUGCUGCAAUAUUACCUGAAGCUAAAAGUUCACCAACUGUUCUUAUGGCCCCCCAAACAUCAGCCCCAGUUGUCACUGUCACUAGAUUACCGCGGGCACAAGUACAAGAUCUCAAACAAUGCUGUGCACGAUGCUGUGGAGUAUACUGCUCAAUAUUACUCUUCUUUUUGCCACGCCACUAUCACUGUUAGACCUGCCAAGCCUCUACUGUGUUUGUAGUAUGCAUGGAACAAAUUAAUGCAGUAACUAACAUUGUAUAAAAUAUAGUUGUCCUUCUCUUUCCUUCCAGUAACAAUUCAUAUUAACUGUUUACAGUAUGCUUUAUUCAUCAUGGCAAACCACGUUCAUAUCCAUAUACAGUUGACUGUUUACACAAACAUUGCAGAUGCUGCAUGACUACAAGUGCACUAUAUCCUUCCUAAUUCCCAAUAGAAGUUAUUGUUAUUAUAUAAUUAUAACCUGCAAAGUCUAUAUGGAUUAUUCUAUCAAGAGUAUAGUCUUACUAUUGACUAGAUUCUAUAUAAGCUCUAGCUACAAGUAUAUAUAGCUACACACACAGCAUAUACAGUAACUUUAUCAUGUCAGACAAAGAUUCCAAUAUUAGAUCUACUCAACAAGAUGAGUCCCAAGAUGAGACUCAGAGUUACCCAAUGGAGAGUUGUGGUUGUAACUCCUCCACAACCAUCACCUGACACACAAUUAUUACAAAAUGCAGUACAAAGUCAAGUGGAAAUCAAAUUAUUCUCUGCAGUAUUCUGCUCACUAAUACUCUUCUUUUUGGCCACACCGCUCUCACUGUUAGUCACCCUGCCAAGCAUCUACUGUAUUUGUAAGGCCAAGUAUGAUGUGAAACGUGGGAAGGUGUCCAAAGCACGUCAGGAAUCAGUAACUGGUUGUAAGAUUAUUGCAAUCACUGUAAUUGUCACCUUAACUAUCUUUCCAUCACUAAUGAUACCACUUAUAUUUUUAGUUUUUUUGUAACUGUAUACAGUAUCAGAUGUGCACGCACGCUAGUUUAUUUCUCUGCAGUACUUCAUAUAUAUAUAUAUACAAGCUGUCAUUAUGACAUGCAACAUCAUUGUCACGUUUAUGUUCCGUAUUAUUUGUAUCAACAAAGAGAAUGUGUACUGCACUCUGAGUUGAACUGCUGAUACACGCAAUGAACCAUCUUGACUUUAUUAACCUCA